AUACGGAGGAUGCAAGCGUUAUCCGGAUUUAUUGGGUUUAAAGGGUGCGUAGGCGGUUUGCUAAGCGGGAGGUGAAAUGCCGGCGCUCAACGUCGGAAGUGCCUCCCGAACUGGUGGACUUGAAUGACUCUGCCGUGGGAGGAAUGUGUAGUGUAGCGGUGAAAUGCUUAGAGAUUACACAGAACACCGAUUGCGAAGGCAUCUCACGAAGUGUUGAUUGACGCUGAGGCACGAAAGCAUGGGGAUCAAACAGGAUUAGAUACCCUGGUAGUCCACGCAGUAAACGAUGAUGGCUAACCGCUGGAUCCAUCGGUUCAGUGGCCAAGCGAAAGCGAUAAGCCAUCCACCUGGGGAGUACGACCGCAAGGUUGAAACUCAAAUGAAUUGGCGGGG
rnacentral:rRNA from 1 species